UACGUAGGUGGCGAGCGUUGUCCGGAUUUACUGGGCGUAAAGGGCGUGCAGGCGGUUUGUUAAGUGCAGGGUGAAAGCUCCCGGCUCAACUGGGGAGGGUCACGCGAUACUGAUCGACUGGAAGGCAGGAGAGGGUAGUGGAAUUCCCGGUGUAGUGGUGAAAUGCGUAGAUAUCGGGAGGAACACCAGUGGCGAAGGCGGGUCUCUGGGCAAUAACUGACGCUGAGGAGCGAAAGUGUGGGGAGCGAACAGG
rnacentral:rRNA from 1 species